GGGCCCGCACAAGCGGUGGAGCAUGUGGUUCAAUUCGAUGCAGAGCGAAGAACCUUACCUGGGCUUGACAUGCAGGAAGUAGAAACCGGAAACGGGGACGACCUGUUGAGUCAGGAGCCUGCACAGGUGGUGCAUGGCUGUCGUCAGCUCGUGCCGUGAGGUGUUGGGUUAAGUCCCGCAACGAGCGCAACCCUCACCCUAUGUUGCCAACGGGUUAUGCCGGGCACUCUUAGGGAACUGCCGGCGAAGAGCUGGAGGAAGGGGGGGAUGACGUCAAGUCCGUAUGCCCCUUAUGUCCAGGGCUACACACAUGCUACAAUGGCCGAUACAGAGGGUUCCCAACCCGCAAGGGGGAGGCAAUCCCACAAAGUCGGUCUCAGUUCGGAUUGCAGGCUGCAACUCGCCUGCAUGAAGUCGGAAUCGCUAGUAAGCGCAGAUCAGCAGGCUGCGCUGAAUACGUUCCCGGGCCUU
rnacentral:rRNA from 1 species